rnacentral:rRNA from 1 species
GAUGAACGCUGGCGGCGUGCCUAAUACAUGCAAGUCGAGCGAACAGACGAGGAGCUUGCUCCUUUGACGUUAGCGGCGGACGGGUGAGUAACACGUGGGUAACCUACCUAUAAGACUGGGAUAACUUCGGGAAACCGGAGCUAAUACCGGAUAAUAUUUCGAACCGCAUGGUUCGAUAGUGAAAGAUGGCUUUGCUAUCACUUAUAGAUGGACCUGCGCCGUAUUAGCUAGUUGGUAAGGUAACGGCUUACCAAGGCAACGAUACGUAGCCGACCUGAGAGGGUGAUCGGCCACACUGGAACUGAGACACGGUCCAGACUCCUACGGGAGGCAGCAGUAGGGAAUCUUCCGCAAUGGGCGAAAGCCUGACGGAGCAACGCCGCGUGAGUGAUGAAGGUCUUCGGAUCGUAAAACUCUGUUAUUAGGGAAGAACAAACGUGUAAGUAACUGUGCACGUCUUGACGGUACCUAAUCAGAAAGCCACGACUAACUACGUG